AUUUUUGUAUACAAAAUAUUUUUUAGUUAGUUAUUAAUAAAAUAAAAAGGUUCCAUCUCACAAAACAUAAACCGAGUUGGGAUUAUAAGGUUCUAUCUCCAGUAGAUUCAAUAUCCAAUCAAAACCCUGAAUGAACACAGACGGACCAAUCAAAUCCCACAGCUUGGACACAGAGCUAAGGGCUGGACAUUAGCCUGCCCUGGACAUCUGAAGCCGGCGAUGGCGACCAAAAGACUUAAAUGUACAGACACCACUAGAAGAGAUCGAAAUGAUGAUAGUGGUGGAAGUCCUCCAAAGGGAGUGGGAGCGGCAAAGAGGACAGUAUCUAGUGGUGGGUACUUCUAUAGAUGGGUGGAAUUUCUGUUGUAUUUACCAUGCCUUUGUUUGUAAAAUACCCAAACUAUGUUAUCAGUGUCAUAAAACAAAAUAAUAAACUGACACAUUAUUAUAAUAUUGGAUCAUGUAAUAAUAAAGAAUCUUUAGCUUC